UUAAGGGAACAAAGUUAAGUGAG
rnacentral:piRNA from 1 species